rnacentral:rRNA from 1 species
GAUGAACGCUGGCGGCGUGCCUAAUACAUGCAAGUCGAGCGAACGGACGAGAAGCUUGCUUCUCUGAUGUUAGCGGCGGACGGGUGAGUAACACGUGGAUAACCUACCUAUAAGACUGGGAUAACUUCGGGAAACCGUAUCUAAUACCGGAUAAUAUUUUGAACCGCAUUGUUCAAAAGUUAAAUACGGUCUUUCUGUCACUUAUAGAUUGAUCCGCGCUGCAUUAGCUAGUGGGUAAGGUAACGGCUUACCAAGGCAACGAUGCAUAGCCGACCUGAGAGCGUGAACGCACACCCGGGAACUGAGAAACGGCACAGACUCCGACGGGGGGACACAGUAGGGACUCUUACGAAAUGGGCGAAAGCCUGACGGAGCACCGCCGGGUGAGUGAUGAAGGUCUUCGGCCCGGAAAACUAUGUUAUUCGGGAAGAACAAAAGUGCAAGUACCUGUGAAGAUAUUGACGGUACCUAAUCAGAAAGCCACGGCUAACUCCGUG